rnacentral:rRNA from 1 species
UACGUAGGAGGCAAGCGUUGUCCGGAAUUACUGGGCGUAAAGCGCGUGUAGGUGGUGGGACAAGUCUGCUGUGAAAGCGCCUGGCUUAACCGGGCGAGGUCGGCGGAAACUGUCCGACUCGAGGACGGUAGAGGGGGGUGGAAUUCCCGGUGUAGUGGCGAAAUGCGUAGAGAUCGGGAGGAACACCUGUGGCGAAGGCGGCACUCUGGGACGGUACUGACGCUGAGACGCGAAAGCGUGGGGAGCGAACAGG